UGCAAGUCGAGCGGAAACGAGUUAUCUGAACCUUCGGGGAACGAUAACGGCGUCGAGCGGCGGACGGGUGAGUAAUGCCUAGGAAAUUGCCCUGAUGUGGGGGAUAACCAUUGGAAACGAUGGCUAAUACCGCAUGAUGCCUACGGGCCAAAGAGGGGGACCUUCGGGCCUCUCGCGUCAGGAUAUGCCUAGGUGGGAUUAGCUAGUUGGUGAGGUAAGGGCUCACCAAGGCGACGAUCCCUAGCUGGUCUGAGAGGAUGAUCAGCCACACUGGAACUGAGACACGGUCCAGACUCCUACGGGAGGCAGCAGUGGGGAAUAUUGCACAAUGGGCGCAAGCCUGAUGCAGCCAUGCCGCGUGUGUGAAGAAGGCCUUCGGGUUGUAAAGCACUUUCAGUCGUGAGGAAGGUGGUGUAGUUAAUAGCUGCAUUAUUUGACGUUAGCGACAGAAGAAGCACCGGCUAACUCCGUGCCAGCAGCCGCGGUAAUACGGAGGGUGCGAGCGUUAAUCGGAAUUACUGGGCGUAAAGCGCAUGCAGGUGGUUUGUUAAGUCAGAUGUGAAAGCCCGGGGCUCAACCUCGGAAUAGCAUUUGAAACUGGCAGACUAGAGUACUGUAGAGGGGGGUAGAAUUUCAGGUGUAGCGGUGAAAUGCGUAGAGAUCUGAAGGAAUACCGGUGGCGAAGGCGGCCCCCUGGACAGAUACUGACACUCAGAUGCGAAAGCGUGGGGAGCAAACAGGAUUAGAUACCCUGGUAGUCCACGCCGUAAACGAUGUCUACUUGGAGGUUGUGGCCUUGAGCCGUGGCUUUCGGAGCUAACGCGUUAAGUAGACCGCCUGGGGAGUACGGUCGCAAGAUUAAAACUCAAAUGAAUUGACGGGGGCCCGCACAAGCGGUGGAGCAUGUGGUUUAAUUCGAUGCAACGCGAAGAACCUUACCUACUCUUGACAUCCAGAGAACUUUCCAGAGAUGGAUUGGUGCCUUCGGGAACUCUGAGACAGGUGCUGCAUGGCUGUCGUCAGCUCGUGUUGUGAAAUGUUGGGUUAAGUCCCGCAACGAGCGCAACCCUUAUCCUUGUUUGCCAGCGAGUAAUGUCGGGAACUCCAGGGAGACUGCCGGUGAUAAACCGGAGGAAGGUGGGGACGACGUCAAGUCAUCAUGGCCCUUACGAGUAGGGCUACACACGUGCUACAAUGGCGCAUACAGAGGGCGGCCAACUUGCGAAAGUGAGCGAAUCCCAAAAAGUGCGUCGUAGUCCGGAUUGGAGUCUGCAACUCGACUCCAUGAAGUCGGAAUCGCUAGUAAUCGUGGAUCAGAAUGCCACGGUGAAUACGUUCCCGGGCCUUGUACACACCGCCCGUCACACCAUGGGAGUGGGCUGCAAAAGAAGUAGGUAGUUUAACCUUCGGGGGGACGCUUACCACUU
rnacentral:rRNA from 1 species